rnacentral:lncRNA from 1 species
AAUGGAAACUCAGCUGUUUAACAGAAUGCAGACCCUGAGACAAAGGUCAGAGGACACACACAUGAAUGGAGGUGGCCACGGCAAACACCAGCAGAGGAGUGAAGAAGUGAGGCAGCGGAGGGAAGGAUGCCAAGAAUGGAGGUGUCAUCGAACCAGUUACCUCUGGGGAGCUCAGGGAGCCAGAUGAGGAAAGCCUGGUGCGGUGGCUCACGCCUGUAAUCCCAACACUUUGGAAGGCUGAGGCGGGCAGACCACCUGAGGUUGGAAGUUCGAGACUAGCCUGACCAACAUGAAGAAACCCCGUCUCUGCUAAAAAAAAAAAUACAAAAUUAGCCAGGCAUGGUGGCGCAUGCCUGUAGUCCCAGCUACUUGGGAGGCUGAGGCAGGAGAAUCGCUUGAACUCAGGAGGCAGAGGUUGCAGUGAGCUGAGAUUGCACCAUUGCACUCCAGCCUGGACAACAAUAGCAAAACUCUGUCUCAAAAAAAAAAAUAGAUAAAU